UGAGUACGAGAUGCUACGGCAUCGAAGCAGUCUAUGUCAUACUUCCAAGAAAAGCUUGCACUGUCAGAAACAGAUAAUGCCUGUACCAUAACCGACACAGGUGGGUAGGUAGAGUAUACUAAGGGGCGCGAGAUAACUCUCUCUAAGGAACUCGGCAAAAUGACUCCGUAACUUCGGGAGAAGGAGUGCCUUAUUUUUAAGGUUGCAAUAACAAGAUCCAAGCAACUGUUUACCAAAAACACAGGUCUCCGCUAAGUCGUAAGACGAUGUACGGGGGCUGACGCCUGCCCAGUGCCAGAAGGUUAAAGAAGUCGGUUAGCAUUCGCGAAGCUGGUAACUGAAGCCCUGGUGAACGGCGGCCGUAACUAUAACGGUCCUAAGGUACGAAAUUCCUUGUCGGGUAAGUUCCGACCCGCACGAAAGGCGUAAUGAUUUGGAUACUGUCUCGGAGAGGGGCUCGGUGAAAUAGACUUGUCUGUGAAGAUGCGGACUACCUGCACCUGGACAGAAAGACCCUAUGAAGCUUUACUGUAACUUGAAAUUGAAAUUGGACUUUAUUUGCGCAGUAUAGGUGGGAGGCGUUGAAAAUAUUCUUGCGGGAAUAUUGGAGCCAUCAGUGAGAUACCACUCUUGUAAUGUUAGAUUUCUAACUUUAUAUCAUUAUCUGGUUAAAGAACAGUUUCAGGCGGGCAGUUUGACUGGGGCGGUCGCCUCCCAAAUGGUAACGGAGGCGCACAAAGGUUUCCUCUGAACGGGUAGAAAUCGUAUCUAGAGUGUAAAGGCAUAAGGAAGCUUGACUGUGAGACCUACAAGUCGAGCAGGGACGAAAGUCGGUCUUAGUGAUCUACGGUGCUGAGUGGAAAGGCCGUCACUCAACGGAUAAAAGUUACUCUAAGGAUAACAGGCUGAUCUCCCCCAAGAGUUCACAUCGACGGGGAGGUUUGGCACCUCGAUGUCGGCUCAUCGCAUCCUGGGGCGGUAGUACGUCCCAAGGGUUGGGCUGUUCGCCCAUGAAAGCGGUACGCGAGCUGGGUUCAGAACGUCGUGAGACAGUUCGGUCCAUAUCCGGUGUAGGCGAUAGAAUAUUGAGAGGAGCCUUCUUUAGUACGAGAGGACCGAGAAGGACAUACCUCUGGUGUACCAGUUAUCGUGCCAACGGUAAACGCUGGGUAGCUAUGUAUGGAGUGGAUAACCGCUGAAAGCAUCUAAGUGGGAAGCCCACCUCAAGAUAAGUAUUCUCAU
rnacentral:rRNA from 1 species